ACGAACGCUAGCGGCGCGUUUUAAGCAUGCAAGUCGAGCGGCAGGGGGGCUUCGGUCCCCCGAGAGCGGCGGACGGGUGAGUAACACGUGGACAACCUGCCCCCCGGUUCGGGAUAGCCCAGGGAAACCUGGAUCAAUACCGGAUGCGAGGGCGGCCGCACAAGCGGCCGUCGGGAAAGGCGCUUCGGCGCCGCCGGGGGAUGGGUCCGCGUCCCAUUAGCUAGACGGUGGGGUAACGGCCCUCCGUGGCGAUGAUGGGUAGCCGGCCUGAGAGGGUGGACGGCCCACCUUGGGACUGAGACCCCGUUCCACACUCCUACGGGAGGCAGCAGCUAAGAUUUUUCCGCAAUGGGCGAAAGCCUGACGGAGCGACGCCGCGUGAACGAAGAAGGCCGUGAGGUUGUAAAGUUCUUUUCGGGAGGGGGAACGAGGCUGCCAGGCAAUGGGCGGCCGAUGACGUGAAUCCCGGAAUAAGCCCCGGCUAACUACGUGCCAGCAGCCGCGGUAACACGUAGGGGGCGAGCGUUGUUCGGAAUCAUUGGGCGUAAAGGGCGUGCAGGCGGCCGCCAAAGUCCGGCGUGAAAGACCCAGGCUCAACCUGGGGGGUGCGCCGGAUACUGGGCGGCUUGAGUACAGGAGGGGACGGCGGAAUUCCAGGUGUAGGGGUGAAAUCUGUAGAUAUCUGGAGGAACACCGAUGGCGAAGGCAGCCGUCUGGCCAUGUACUGACGCUGAGGCGCGGAGGUGCGGGGAGCAAACAGGUUUAGAUACCCUGGUAGUCCGCACAGUAAACGAUGUGCACCAGGCGGCGGGGGCAACCUCGCUGCCGCAGUCAACGCAUUAAGUGCACCGCCUGGGGAGUAUGCCCGCAAGGGUGAAACUCAAAGGAAUUGACGGGGGCCCGCACAAGCGGUGGAGCAUGUGGUUUAAUUUGAUGCAACGCGAAGAACCUUACCAGGUCUUGACAUCCAAAGAAUCCUGAUGAAAGUCGGGAGUGCCUUAGGGAGCUUUGAGACAGGUGGUGCAUGGUUGUCGUCAGCUCGUGUCGUGAGAUGUUGGGUUAAGUCCCGCAACGAGCGCAACCCCCGCUAUUAGUUGCUAACAUUGAGUUGAGCACUCUAAUGGGACUGCCCGUGACAAGCGGGAGGAAGGUGGGGAUGACGUCAAAUCAUCAUGCCCCUUAUGAUCUGGGCUACACACGUGCUACAAUGGAUGGUACAGAGAGCAGCGAGACAGUGAUGUGGAGCGAAUCUCAAAAAGCCAUUCUCAGUUCGGAUUGCAGGCUGCAACUCGCCUGCAUGAAGUCGGAAUCGCUAGUAAUCGCGGAUCAGCAUGUCGC
rnacentral:rRNA from 1 species